rnacentral:tRNA from 3 species
GCGGGUGUAGUUCAGUGGUAGAACUUCAGCCUUCCAAGCUGAUCACGUGGGUUCGAUUCCCAUCACCCGCUCCA